rnacentral:rRNA from 1 species
GACGAACGCUGGCGGCGUGCUUAACACAUGCAAGUCGAACGGAAAGGCCCUGCUUUUGUGGGGUGCUCGAGUGGCGAACGGGUGAGUAACCCGUGAGUAACCUGCCCUUGACUUUGGGAUAACUUCAGGAAACUGGGGCUAAUACCGGAUAGGAGCUCCUGCUGCAUGGUGGGGGUUGGACAGUUUCGGCGGUUGGGGAUGGACUCGCGGCUUAUCAGCUUGUUGGUGGGGUAGUGGCUUACCAAGGCUUUGACGGGUAGCCGGCCUGAGAGGGUGACCGGCCACAUGGGGACUGAGAUACGGCCCAGACUCCUACGGGAGGCAGCAGUGGGGAAUAUUGCACAAUGGGCGGAAGCCUGAUGCAGCAACGCCGCGUGCGGGAUGACGGCCUUCGGGUUGUAAACCGCUUUCGCCUGUGACGAAGCGUGAGUGACGGUAAUGGGUAAAGAAGCACCGGCUAACUACGUG